UACGGGGGGGGCAAGCGUUGUUCGGAAUUACUGGGCGUAAAGCGCACGUAGGCGGUUCGUUAUGUCGGAUGUGAAAGCCCUUGGCUUAACCGAGGAAGUGCAUCCGAAACUGGCGAGCUAGAGUACUAAAGAGGAUCGCGGAAUUCCCGGUGUAGAGGUGAAAUUCGUAGAUAUCGGGAGGAACACCGGUGGCGAAGGCGGCGAGUCUGGGUAGAUACUGACGCUGAGGUGCGAAAGCGUGGGGGAGCAAACAGGG
rnacentral:rRNA from 1 species